rnacentral:rRNA from 1 species
UACAGAGGAUGCAAGCGUUAUCCGGAAUGAUUGGGCGUAAAGCGUCUGUAGGUGGCUUUUUAAGUCCGCCGUCAAAUCCCAGGGCUCAACUCUGGACAGGCGGUGGAAACUACCAAGCUGGAGUACGGUAGGGGCGGAGGGAAUUCCUGGUGUAGCGGUGAAAUGCGUAGAGAUCAGGAAGAACAUCGGUGGCGAAGGCGCUCUGCUGGACCAUAACUGACACUCAGGGACGAAAGCCAGGGGAGCAAACGGG